rnacentral:rRNA from 1 species
CCUACGGGAGGCAGCAGUGAGGAAUAUUGGUCAAUGGACGAGAGUCUGAACCAGCCAAGUAGCGUGAAGGAUGACUGCCCUAUGGGUUGUAAACUUCUUUUAUAUGGGAAUAAAAUGUUCCACGUGUGGGAUUUUGUAUGUACCAUAUGAAUAAGGAUCGGCUAACUCCGUGCCAGCAGCCGCGGUAAUACGGAGGAUCCGAGCGUUAUCCGGAUUUAUUGGGUUUAAAGGGAGCGUAGGUGGAUUGUUAAGUCAGUUGUGAAAGUUUGCGGCUCAACCAUAAAAUUGCAGUUGAAACUGGCAGUCUUGAGUACAGUAGAGGUGGGAGGAAUUCGUGGUGUAGCGGUGAAAUGCUUAGAUAUCACGAAGAACUCCGAUUGCGAAGGCAGUUCACUGGACUGCAACUGACACUGAGGCUCGAAAGUGUGGGUAUCAAACAGGAUUAGAUACCCCUGUAGUC